rnacentral:lncRNA from 1 species
GUUUGCUAUACCACUGUUUAUUUCAACGCACUUUAUGAUAAUACUUCUGUACCAGUCGAAAAGAAAAUUUUUGUAGUGUUUUGAGAAAUAAUUUUACUUUGUAGUAAUGUAUUGUUUUGGAAACAUUUUAUGUUUUAAAAGGGAAAAUUUUCUGUUUAAAGUCAAUAACAUGUGGACUUUUGAAGCCCAAACUUUGUAUGGCCUUAAA